AAUUUCCCUCCUAGGAAUUUGCCCUAUGGAAGUAACUGGAAUGCAAGCAAAGCCCCAUUAUUUAACCAACAUUACCAAAAGCAGGAAAAACUAAACAGCAGCUUAAGUUUCUUUCUACUGAAGAGUCCUUGGAUUGAUUACCAUACACUACGAAGAAUGAUAGUUUGGGGAAGUGAUGACAACAUAAUUUUAAAUUUUAAAAGUGAGAAGCAGUAGGGUAUAUAGUAUUUAUACCUAAGCAUAGACAAAAUGUUGGAUGGGGAAGUGCCAGAAUCUUAGCGGUAAGUUUUAUCUUGGUGGGAUGUUGGGUGUGACUUUUAUUUUCUCUUUUACAGGAAGAAGAGACACAGGAUCAGCCACAGAAGGUGUGUUGUGCACAGGAGUCUGUCAGGCUGUAGCUCAAGCUUAAAAUCAUGAACAGUGAAGACCAUGAAGGCAUAUGCUUAAGGAAGCCCAAGCUGAAGGGCACAGAAGCAGGCUUGAUGGGCUGCAGAAGGAGAGGAAGACAUAUUGGUUAUUCAGGAUACCAACAAGCGGGGCAAGUCCUUAGAUAGCCUUAGGUUCCUAAAGGCUUAGAAGGAGAUGAGGCUGAUAAAGAAAGCAGUGAUGCUAAAGAAUGAGGUUCUGAGAUCCCAGUUCUAAAUGCAUUUGCUCCACGACACGCAGCCAAAGGCUUUCAUCCUUCAUUUCUGCCGAUUUUGGGGAAGAAUCCAUUCCUGCAUUUACAUCCUGUUAGACUCUUUUGGAAUAGUGAUAGUUCCUCACAAAAGAAAUGUUCUGAAUUCACCGUGCCUACUAGAGAGGGGAGGACUGGAAAAAACCAUUUUUCAAGUGAUUUUUUGCAUCCUCCUUUGGAUACUUCUUGUUUAAAAAAAUAACUGUAGAAUUAAAAUAAGGGAAAGUUUAGGUUUUGCUGUUUUUAUGGGCUGAGAAUUGAGCUUCGUUGAAAAAAAUUGAGAGGGACAAUUCUGAUGUGAAUCCCAUGUUUAUUGUUUUAAAAGCUCUGUGCUAAUACCAAAAGAAUGUAUUUCUGGUGGGAAGUGAAAUAUUUCCAUGGCUUCAGGGAGCUUGACUUCUGUCCUAAAAAUAGAUUUCCUUAGCUAUUAUAAACAAAACACCUUUAGCAAUAAAAAUAAAAUAUGGAUGGAGUUUCCACUGUGGUGCAGUGAGUUAAGGCUCUGGAGUCGCUGCAGCUGCAGUAUAGGGGCAGCUGCGGCUUAGAUUCAGCCUCUGGCCCAGGAAUUUCCAUAUGCCACCAGUGUGAAAAAAAAAAAACACCAAGAACCAAAAAAAAAAAAAAAUACAUAGCAAACACAGCAAUGUUUUAUACCCUUAUCAUUUAAAGACUUUAGGUCUAUAAGGAAAAAUAAACACCAUCCCCCCAAAAAAGCAUGUCCAAAAGGUAGCUUAUAAGAGAUUUGCAUAUAAAGAAAAAAGUGAAAUAAAAAUGCAAUCUUAACUAUUAAUCAAAGACAUGAUUGUUAACACAUCAGUAACAGACGAUUUUCUCCUAGUAGGUAAAAAGAAUGUGCCGUGGAGUUUUGCCGUUGUUAUCACGUGAGCUUUAAUGUGACUGUGAAUUUUCUCAUAAUGUCCGAGCCUGGCAAAUUGCUGCAACCUUUCUGCAAGACAAAUCAAAAUUGGUCCCAGUCCUUUAUUUUUCUUUUUUUUUUAAAUUUCUCAAAUGAAUUUAUCACAUCUGUAGUUGUAUAAUGAUUAUAACAAUCCAAUUUCACAGGAUUUCCAUCCCACAACCCAAGCACAUCCCCCCCAUCCCUGGUCCCAGUCCUUUAAAUUAGUCGUAUGAUCCUUCUGAUAUGUUAUUUGUAAAAGCAUAAAUAUAUGUGUAUACCCAUGUGUGCAGUUGCUCUUAGUAGCAUUUUUGUAAAAAGAAAAUAAUCAAAAUAACUGAAAAGACCAACAACGGAAAAAUAUUCACAUUAACGGUAGUCAAUCCAUUGGAUGGCAUUUUAUGAAAAACCAGAUUUUUCAAAGACUAAUGACAUGGGAGUUUGUUCAAAGUAAUACGUUAAAAAAAAAAAAGCUAAAUGUACAUGUCUGUGCAAUAUGUUUAUAAAUCUGUAUGCAUAACAAAUAUUAUAAAUCUGUAUGCAUAACAAAUAUUGGAGACGAUACAUCCAGAUAGUUAUAAAAGUUAUCUCUGCAUGAUGGGAUUAUCUUUCCUUCUCUUCCAGUUUUCUUUUAUUUCUUAAUUUCCAACUUCCUACCAGGAAUCUGUAUUACUGUAUGAUUCAGUUAAAACCUGUUGUUUAAAUGCAAAGUGGCAUUUCUGGGAGUAUAGAAAAUUCUCCUCAGUGAUGCAUUACCACCUGCAGACAUUGAGGAGGCAGAACGAUAUUAUCUGUUUAGCAGGAUCCCUGAAUCUCUCAAUACUUAGAUCCUUGAUUUUAAGGAGAUCUGGAGGGGUGAAGCAUUUUGUCCAAGGUCAUGUGGCAAGUGCGUUGUGUAGCGUCAAAGAUAAACAAAGCUGGGGUCAAUGUUAAGUUGUACGGACAGGUGUUAAUCAGUAAUAUAUUAUUGUGAUGGGGAAAGAGUCCAGUGUGAACUGGACCUUCUUUUGAGCAGAGGUUGCUGGGCACCUUAAAGGCAGAAAGAGGGGCGAGGGAGUGGGAUGAGAGGGGUUUGACGGGGCAGGACAGUAAAAAUGGACAGAAAGCGGGAAGGUGCAUGUCGUUCCCUAUGAAACCCAUCUGGGUCUGCAAACCAGGGCUCAGAGGAAUUAGGCUCUCCCCUCCCACACAGGCUGGGGGUCAGGGGUCCUAUCUUCAUGUGGCGGCUGGAGCACACAGUCAAUUCUUCUAGCAGUCUUGAGUUUUGCCAGGGAGACACUUUCCAGGGAGCAACAGGCAUCCUAUGGCUGCAGGUUUGAGCCACUAGAAACUGUGUUGGUGUUUGUCCAAGUCUGUAUAGGCCAAGGUUGAAAUCCAGAGGUUGAGUCCAGCAGGGAACUUGGAGGAGCCUGGCUGGAGUUCCCUCAAGGAGAGAGUCUGUCAGGAGCAGGACUCAGCCUAGAAUUGGUUCUCCUGACCCCUAUUCCAAUUCUCCUUUCACUACCACUAUUUUUGCAUAUCAAGAACUUUCUGACCCAAAUGGGAACUUCAGCUGGAACUAAGGGACCAGAAGAAUUAUUGAAUAAGAAGAGUAAAGAAAUUCCCAGUGUGGCACAUUGGGUUAAGGAUCUGGCAUUGCCACAGUUGUGGUGUAGGUUAUAGCUGCGGCUCAGAUUCGACCCCUGGCCAAGGAAACUUCCAUACACCUUGGGUGCCACUGAUAAAGAAGAAAAAUUAAAAAGAAGGAAAAUGUUUGCCUAGGGUAAUAGUGUCUCUCCACUCCCGCUGCAUUGGAUCUUGGUUAAAAUGCUCAAAACUUAUCUUCCUCUGGGUUGGAGCAUCCCCACUUCUUCUGUGGGGUUAAUGCUCGAGUCUAAGUAUUUAGUGGGUUGGAUAUAUAAUGUCCAGGAGUCUCACCACAUACUUUUUCAAUGAGUUAUCAGUUUAAGUGCAUGCACACCCGAUAUAAAAUCCCGAGUGCUUCACACUCACAUAGCUGACCAGUGAGGUGUGUUCCUGGGUAUUGAUUCCUUCAGCUCACAGUGAGCAACUGGAUUACUUGUUAAUCCUCAGGUGGUCAAGACCUUGAAAACAAGUGGCAAUUGUAGCUGUGUUUUCAAAAUCUGAUGUUUAGAGAACAUUCUAGGAUCUCUAUAAAACUAGUAAAAUCUAGAAGAAAGCCAGCAUUGGCUUUGUGAAAACAGAAUCCAUCCAAUCUAGUUACUUAAUGUUUAGCCAUUGCUGGCAGCUUUCUUCCUUGUUUCAUCCUCUUUUUCCAUUUUUUUCUUGUCCUCUUCCUAUUUUUUCCUGUCCUUCCAUCCAUCCAUCCAUCCUUCCUUCCUUCUUUCCCCCUCCUUUCCUCUCCUUCCCUCUUUCCCACCUUUUUCCUGCAACCUUCCAACUCAUUUAGUAGACAUUUUUGGCUCCCAUUCAUUGCUAGAUCCACUGAAAGCUAGACUGGCAUGCUGCCAGAAUCAUGAGAUUUGAGUCAGAUGAGCCAAGGAUCAGUUUUUGGUUUGGUAUCAACUAGCUGCUUGAUUGUGACCAAGUUAUUUCGUCUCUGUGUACUCACUCAUUUCACAAGCAGACAUUUUAUUGCAAGCAUUGUAGGAGACUUUAAGUACUCUAGGUGUGCCACUCUGGUUUUUAAAAAUACUCUGUGUGAUGAUGCAAAUGCUGCUCACCCUUGGAAGGUUGUGAUGGGCCAACUAAACAACCUACGGGACAGCAGGUAACCCCGUACCCGGCACAUGGUCCAGGGCUAAGAAAUGCUAGCUGCCUGUUCUUUUCUUUCAGCUUCCUCGAUGCCAAGUAUGCAUGGGUGAGACUCAGUUUUUGAAAGGAUCUCACAGGCUACCCGGAAAAAGCAGAUUUCCUAGAGAAAAAUUUAUGCCAUAUUUCAUUCACUCUAAGUCGCACCUUUGUCAUAUUUUACCAUCUAUGAAGUCAGAAUGCAUGUUAAAAUCGCCGUUAGCCCGAGGGUGGCAGUUGUGCUGUAGUCUUUUUUGUGGUCACACGUGGGAUCAGAGCUGUACCUAUUUUUCACCACUUCAGUUCGUUAGGUAUGUUAUUAGCAUUCCACACGUUGACUUUAACUGCCUUCAAAAUAUCUUCAAGGAGAUUAUGCUAUGAUUCAGCAUUAAAACAAAAAGACAUCUGAGGGCACAGCAAGGCACAGAAACAGAGAAGUGGGACGUUAUUUGGAUAUUAGUGAAGCAAAGGGUCUUCCCUGGAGAAUUAACCAUGAGCAUCAAAGCUGACAAAAUGAUGUCACAGCUUGGAAGGAAAUGUCACAGACAAGGGUGAUGGCCCCUUCUUAGAAAAGUGUUAGGUCGUCUUGAGUUUCUCAGAUGGAUAACCAGCCAUCUAUGGUGCUGGGUUCAAAUGAGAUUAAAAACUAGGCUUUAGGAACAAAAGCACACAAACAAGCAAACAAAGAGCAACCCCAAUAAAAAAUCCAGAUUCAAAUUCCUCAUCCCAGGUGAAAGAGUUCCUUCUGGUGGAAUUCAGUUUCCUCUGUUAAAAGAGAAGAAUCAACAUAUACCCACCAGGGUUGUUAUAAAAAUAAAUUCAAUAAAGGCCAGGAAAUGAAGUGGGUUUAGCUGCAAAGUAUUAAUCAAGCACAGACAUUUUCCAGGGCUGAUUGUUUGGAUGUCUGUGUUUUAUUUUCCUUUUUCUUGAAACUGUGAGCUCCCUGAGGACAGACGCUUAGCCUUCGGCUCCCUACCACCAAGCUGGGAUGGAUGGACAAGCCCUGAGCUCAGUCAGUUAGAAGGCUGAACCUGUGCCUGACACUGUUUCCAUUGUUAUCACUGCUGUGGUUUUGGUUGUUUUGUUUUGAUUUUGGCAUUUUUUUAAGUGCAGGUGAGUUACAACAUUGUGCCAAUUUCUGCUUACAGGAAAGGGACCCAGGCAUACACCCACACACCCACACACAUAUACAUACACAUUUCUUUUCUUCUGUCAUCUUCCAUCAUGGUCUAUACCAAGAGACUGGAUGUCGUUCCCCGGACUAUGCAUUAGGACCUCAUUGCUUCUCCAUUCUAAAUGUAACAGUUUGCAUCUACUAACCGCAAACUCCCCGUCCAUCCCACUCCGUUCCCCCUCCCCCUUGGCAACCCUAAGUCUGCUCUCUAAGUCUGUGGUCACUGCUGUUUUCCAAGCCUAUUUUGAUACUCGCCGCAUUCCUGAAGGUGUACGUUAAGCAAAUAUUGAAACUGACACUUCAGACAUAAGGGAGCCAACAGAGAAGCCUAGUUAUUUGAUGGGAUGUUAGAAUCGAAUGCGUCCAUAGCCCUGCCACUCCCUGCAGGUCAGGACUGGCUCAGUCAUGCAGGUGGGACUGGGCAGACACUGAAGCCCGUUAGUCCCUGCAGGUCUAAGCAGUAGGAGCCUGUUGGGGGAGGGGUGGAGAUGGGGCAUCAGGGAAGGAGGGUGGAGCUUGGGUUCAGGCUCUGUGGGGAGGCCGGACUCCUGCUGUGCACGUGAAAUGAUUAGCUGGGACAGUCUUCCAAAGGAGGCCCACGGUACCAUGUGGCACAAAGGAGCCUGUCCAUCAGUGAGGUUGAAGGGAUGGGACAGAAGAUGCAGGAAAGGAAGCAGGAAAUGCCUGGAGGGGAAGAAAUGAGAAAACCAGGGGCAGCUAGGAAGGGCCUGGUGACAGGGUAGGGAAGUAACUGGAGAAAGAGCACUGCUGCUUCCCGAGGCCAGGAAGAGUGCAUGAUGGGAUGAAAAAGAUGGUUGGUAAAUCCCUCUUGGAAGCUGUGGAACAAGGGACAUCUUUGAAUGUACCCAUUGUCUACAGAGGUAGAAAGAGUAAAACAGGGGACCAAAUGCUUAGCAUCCAGACAAAUACAUCUUUUACAUUUUUACUUUAACUAAAAAAAAUAAAUAAAAUGUAAAUAAACUUGGAAAAAUAUGCAAAUCCUAGCAGCUCAGCGAAUUUUCACGAGGUGGAUACAGCCACGUUCUAAACACCCAGAUGGGAAACAAACAUUCGUAGCAGCCAGGGGUCCCCUUGUGCAGCCUCAGUCAUGAUCACCCUCUAAGGAUGACCACUGCCUGACCUCUCGCAUCACACACUCAAAUUUCUCACCUAAUUUAAAAACCAAAAGCCCAAGGUGUAAAACCAGGUUUUAUGUGGGCAGAGGUCAUGACCCUUGGUGUUGAACCUGCAUCGCCUUGAGCGGAAGGCAGACCUGACAUUGCAUGACAGAUGCGCUAUUUACUAUGUGAAACUCCAGCUUCCUUGUUAGUAAAGUGGGGAUGAGAUGUUAAAGUGGUGAUGCUGCUGUCAGGCUAAGCGAGAUGCUCUCUAAGUAGAGGCUCACUCAGGGUCUGGGGCUCAAGUGUUGGUUGGGUGUGCAUUAAAAUACGAAUAAAAAUGAGAAUGAAUAGGUGACCGCUUUAAUCAGACACAGUCAUGGAGUUUUGGAGCAUGAGAGAGGAAGCCUCACUGAGGCUCUGGUGGGAGCAGGCUGAGACUGGAAGAGCGUGGAACAGAGAAGGCAAAGCACUCUGCUCUUUGACCAGGACUGCCUCUAACUUGCGCAGUCACCUCUCACCUCUCACCUUCCUUGCCCAGGCCUCAGUUUCCUCUCCCUUAUAAUUUAUGGAUGCUAUAAUAAGUUUUUCCCACGACUGAUCUCACUCAAAAACACAGUACAUCUAUAAUUAGCUAACUUGGAAAAGUAUAGAAUAAAAAUAAACAGUAAUUGCAGUGCCCAACCAGACAAACUGGAAUACAUUUGGGGGGUGUAAAAAGGUGUAGAAAGAAUUCAAAAUCAUCUCAUAUAAGGGUGAUAAUUCUGCACUGGUUAAAUCUAGCUGCUGUAGGCCCAGGCGGACCCGUGAGAACGCCCAUGCAGCAGAGAUAAAAAGAAUAUUCUGUAUGAGGCUGUGCAUCAACACUAAAUUCAGGCCAACAAUCUGAAGAAAUACAAAGAAGAGCUCAGUCUGAGGUAUAACUUUAACCCUACUUCCUAAAUAAGUGUAGUCUUUAUAUAGACAAAAAGCAUAAGUUUUCUCGGAAAUGUAUGCAUAUAUACUUCCUUAUAUAUAUAAGGAUCCUUAUAAUGUAUGGAGUGUAUAUGUGUAAGGAUUCCUCUGUCUUUCAUACUCUCUUCAUAUGUAUAUGAGAGAGUAUGCUUAUAAUACAUAUAAGAUCAAAAUAAAAGAACCCUUGGGGGACCAGGAAGAUACAUUCUCUUUUCACUCCUAUGCCCUAAAAUGGAAUCAUCUGUUGCAUUAAUUUUAACCCUACACUUUAUAAGGCCAAACUACAAAAGAGAUGGGAUGGAUGUAAAAAUUUUUAUUACCUUGACAAAGAAAAAGUACAAUAAUUGCUUCCUGGGAGAGAAAGCAUUUUUCCCUGCUAGUAAAUUCUAGGAUGGAUUUAGCCCAUAGGUCCUCCAGACCUCGCACGACAAGCCCCAUCUUCCAACUUCUAGAACAUUUCUCUGUGCUCUACACCAGCUGGUAUAUUUCACCUUGCUUUCCACCUCAAGAGAUUUCCUACAGCACAUGCUCCACAGGCCACAUCACAGAAUCUACCCACUCAGUUAUAGAUCCAUUCACGUAUCUCCUCUUUAAAAAAAAAUCCCCUGGAGUUCCUGUCAUGUUGCAGCAGCAACGAAUCCGACUAGGAACCAUGAGGUUUUGGGUUCAAUCCCUGUUCUCGCUCAGUGGGUUAAGGAUCUGGUGAGCUGAGGUAUAGGUCGCAGACGCAGCUCGGAUCUGGCGUUGCUGUGGUUGCGGUGUAGGCUGGCAGCUACAGUCCUGAUUAGACCCCUUGCCUGGGAGCCUCCAUAUGCCACAGGUGCAGCCCUCAAAAGACAAAAAAAAACACACACACAAAAAAAAACCCCAAAUGUCUAUUAGUGUUAGAUGCUGAACAUCCAAACAUGAGGCGGGGGCUGCGCUCCUGCCCUUUAAGUGUCCACAAACUCAAGGAAAAAACAGAAGCGUGGACACUCAGAGGUCACUUAGGCCAGCCUUAGAAGGGUACCCCUCCUGAAGGACGAGGACACACUAAGUGCCCUUCUCCCUCCUUCGCUUUGAGUCGUGUUUAUGGGCUUUUCAAGGUGUGGAUCUGAGCCCUGAGGGGAAACAUCAUCCAUACUUAGCCCAACAAGGAAGAGAAGAGUGUGAGCACCCAGCCUCCAGACGACCCAGCCCUGCCUGUGCUCCCACCACGUGGGAGGCAGAGGGUUGAAAAGGCAGCCAGGUGAGCUGGUGUGGGCUGCUCGGGUGGCCGGGGGUGGGGAUAUGGGGAGAGAGACUGUCCCUUAACCAAAGCCAAGGGAUUGGAGAAAAAUGGAGCAAGGCAGCGACGGCAGAGAAGAGGGUUCCCCCCCCCCAGUAUCCUGCAUUCUGCACCCCAUAGCGCCCCAGGCAAGACCAGUUCUAGAAAAGCCUUCAGGGUCACCAGGAGCAGAGUCCCAAAGCAAUGGUGAGGAAGGGUCACGAGAGGGCCAGCUGCACAGCAAAGAGCCAUGAUAUGUGGUUAUAAGUGUUUUUCAUUG
rnacentral:lncRNA from 1 species